rnacentral:rRNA from 1 species
GACGGAGGGUGCUAGCGUUGUUCGGAAUCACUGGGCGUAAAGGGCGCGUAGGCGGCCCUGGCAGUCGGCUUGUGAAAGCCCGGGGCUCAACCCCGGAGGUGCGGCCGAAACACCAGGGCUGGAGGCCGGAAGAGGAGGGUGGAAUACCCAGUGUAGAGGUGAAAUUCGUAGAUAUUGGGUGGAACACCGGUGGCGAAAGCGGCUCUCUGGUCCGGACCUGACGCUGAGGCGCGAAAGCGUGGGGAGCAAACAGG